GUCAAAUACAAAGAAAGUUAGGCUGUAUGUGUUUGUGUUCAGUGCCAAAAUCCCUCUGCUUAAAAUAUUUUAUCUUCCAGUCUUUGAAAUGUCAUCAGCUUUUAUAUUGACUUACCUAGUAAUGAAGACCUUUUUUGGCGUUCUUCCUCUAAUAGUAUCACAAGGAUUUCUCUGACUGUCAGAUGUCCUUCAGUUUCUUAGAGAUCACUUCUAUGUAGCUGUUCUUCAUAAAAAUCUAAAUUCUGUUCAAUAAUGAAUGCCUUAUCUCCAAAGGUAAUUGGGCCAGCUACACCCUGACUUGGCUUGAUCCUGUUGUCCUUGAAUCUUAGUUAUCUGGAGAGAUAAGUACAGUCACUAAGACAGACUGGAGUUGGUUUACAGGCAUGGUAUCGUACUUCUAUUUUAAGAGCUAAGGUGUUUUACAAAGUAAGCAUGCAUUUGUGGCUGAAGAGAUGUGCUGGAGAUGUUUCCCACCUCCCUUAACCCAACUAACCCCCUGUGACUUUGAAGAGAGGAAAAACAGAGUUCUGUCCUGGAGAUGUUUCCCACCUCCCCUAACCCACUUAAUCCCCUGUUAACUUUGAGGAGAGGAAAAAAAGAAUUCCAUCCUGGAAGACUGCUGAGGAAACUUGGACAUAAAAGGUUGGUGAGGCCUUAAUGAUCCAUAUGUUUUUCUCCUUCUGAGAGCAAUAAAUAAAUAUAAACUGAGAAAAAUGGAAGUAUCUCUCCUGACCAUUUGUAUAGUCCUUUUACAAGAAUUGCUCCUAUUUUUAAUUCUCAGAAUUGGACUGAAUGACUUUGAAGGUCAUGUUAACCAAGUAUAGACUUCUUUGUGUGUGCAUGCAUGUGUUGUUGCCUAGGCUUUUUGGUGGUUUUGGUUUUUUUUACUAUGGUUCCACAUCAAAAGUUUUUGAGGAGAAUAAAUUCAAGCUAGCUGCAGCAAGUGAUGGGGUGUGACCUAAGUUGUCUUGAUAUUAAAGUAGAAACACUUAAUUUGUUUACCUAAUACCCAAUACAGAGUCCAUUUUCACUGUGUAGAGUAGUGUUGGCAGAGGUGUUGGGGUUUUUCAAGUAAUAUUCUCUUUUACUAAAAUAUGGGCUGUAGCAAAAUCUUGGUAGUGUGACUAGCUUGUAUGAAUAGGUGACUGAAAUAUAUUCAUUGCGAGUCUUAAAAGCAUUGUUUGGAGUUUAGUGGUACCACUGAGUCUGUAAGCAAUACUUCAGGACACUUGUUUUAAUACAGCUUUGACUGCUGGUUGUACAACUUCAUAAACUGUUUUGUUUAAGCAGUUUUGGCCAUGAUGGAACGCUUAAUUUU